rnacentral:pre_miRNA from 1 species
GGGGGGAGGCCGGAUCUUGGGCUGUGUCCCAGCGCCCUGUGCUCCGGGACCUGAGUUGUUGGAUUCACGCUCCUGGCUGGGUAGGCCCCU